CAUGACAUGACUGGACAUAGCAGUAGAAAGAUGUGCCCAAAACUGGCUCCUGUGAGCUGGUAAAAGCUAACUCCUGCACAUCAUGUCAUUCCAAACUCCUGCUUGGGAAACAAGCACUGAAUCAGUCAGAGUUCUCCAGAGAAACAGAACGAGAAGACCAGUAGCAGGGGCCUGAGUUCAUUGCUGGCAGAAUGCAAUUUGCAAAGAUGAUUAAGAUACAGCGUCUGCCCUCCAGCCGAGUAGGGAUGAUACUCUUUGGUGCUUAUGCAUCAUUCGUCCUUAUACAAGUAACCAGGCAAGGGGGGCUGCUUUCUAGCUCAAAACCCAGCACAGAGCUUGGCAUGGAGUUGGCCUCAUUAUGAUUGAAUGAAUGCAGUCCCAUGAUUUUCAUGUCUUGGCAAGCAUCUGUCAACGGUUAUUCACGAUCCUGAGUCUUAGGACAAAAGAAAAUGAAUUCUAUUCUCCUCGUACUCAUGAAGAAGAUUGAAAAGCUGGUACCAGAGACACAGCUCAAUCCUCAGGUUUGGAGGAGACUGCCAGAAGUUGUCUUCCAAAGUGGCUGUACCAUUUUUACUCCCAGGAGCAAAAAAAUUACAGUUCCUGUUGCUAAACAUCUUU
ensembl:lncRNA